UUGACUAGAGGAGGGGUGAAUAGUCGAACCUGAAAAUUUUUACACUUUUGAACAAGCUUAUUAGCAACUUUUGAAAAUAUCCGGAGAUUGUUCCGGAAAUUUCCGAAGGUUCGGAAAUUUCUGGAGAAAUCUUCGGAUUUUUCCAGACUUUGGCAGAAAUCAACUAUUUCUGAAGGUUCGGAAAUUUCUGGAGAAAUCUUUGGAUUUUUCCGAACUUUGGCAAAAAUCAACUACAACCUCAAGAUAAACUUGUUGAAAAGUAAAUCGACAAUAUAGGUUUUUCAACAGGUUAUACUAAGC
rnacentral:lncRNA from 1 species